GGCAAGAUGGCCGAGCGGUCCAAGGCGCUGUGUUCAGGUCGCAGUCUCCCUGAGGCGUGGGUUCGAAUCCCACUCUUGUCA
rnacentral:tRNA from 1 species